CUACCCGGUUAAAUAAAGGUGUUCUCAACUAGCCUACCCGGUUAAAUAAAGGUGUUCUCAACUAGCCUACCCGGUUAAAUAAAGGUGUUCUCAACUAGCCUACCCGGUUAAAUAAAGGUGUUCUCAACUAGCCUACCCGGUUAAAUAAAGGUGUUCUCAACUAGCCUACCCGGUUAAAUAAAGGUGUUCUCAACUAGCCUACCCGGUUAAAUAAAGGUGUUCUCAACUAGCCUACCCGGUUAAAUAAAGGUGUUCUCAACUAGCCUACCCGGUUAAAUAAAGGUGUUCUCAACUAGCCUACCCGGUUAAAUAAAGGUGUUCUCAACUAGCCUACCCGGUUAAAUAAAGGUGUUCUCAACUAGCCUACCCGGUUAAAUAAAGGUGUUCUCAACUAGCCUACCCGGUUAAAUAAAGGUGUUCUCAACUAGCCUACCCGGUUAAAUAAAGGUGUUCUCAACUAGCCUACCCAGUUAAAUAAAUGUGUUCUCAACUAGCCUACCUGGUUAAAUAAAGGUGUUCUCAACAAGCCUACCUGGUUAAAUAAAGGUGUUCUCAACUAGCCGACCUGGUUAAAUAAAGGUGUUCUCAACUAGCCGACCUGGUUAAAUAAAGGUGUUCUCAACUAGCCUACCUGGUUAAAUAAAGGUGUUCUCAACUAGCCGACCUGGUUAAAUAAAGGUGUUCUCAACUAGCCUACCUGGUUAAAUAAAGGUGUUCUCAACUAGCCUACCUGGUUAAAUAAAGGUGUUCUCAACUAGCCUACCUGGUUAAAUAAAGGUGUUCUCAACUAGCCUACCUGGUUAAAUAAAGGUGUUCUCAACUAGCCUACCUGGUUAAAUAAAGGUGUUCUCAACUAGCCUACCUGGUUAAAUAAAGGUGAACAAAUAACAAUAAUAAAAACAAAAAUGGCAAUGCAUGAAGACCUAGCCUGAGAUAUUACUAUUCUAUGCUUAGGACAGAGCCUUAACACACUAUCUAC